GUGCAAAUGUAGUAAGAUUAGGGAGGUAAGGCAAUAAAUAGGCCACAGUGACGAAAUAAUUACAAUUUAGCAAUUAAACACUGGAGUGUUCAUAAACAUGAAGUGGACUUGGAAGCGCAUUAAGAAGGAUUACCAACCAUAUCGUCACUCAAAUACUUAUGCUUAGCUUCUGAAAGUGGGCAUCUCAACGGAGAUAAAAACACAGUAUAAAAUCAGAGACAGACAGGAAGAGAUCCAAUGCGAGGGAGAACAAGGGUUGGGUUGGGAUCACUAUCUGAUGUUUUUUCCAUUUGCUACUAGAUGCCAAAACGCCCUAUUCUAUGUAUUGUGAUAUCCUGGAGCUGAGAUGGAGCUGGAACAGACAGAGUGAUGUCACUGAACUCCUAAAACUAAAAUACCAAUACACCAGAGGCUUCACACAGAUAGAGAGAUACAGAAAUAGAGAAACAGAAAGAGAGAGAGAAAUGGUGAGUGUCUGAGAGAGAGAGAGAGAGAGAGAGAGAGAGAGAGAGAGAGAGAGAGAGAGAGAGAGAUGGGGGGGCAGUCGAGCGGGUAGGCAGCACACAGGCAGGCAGAAGUUUUACAACAGAGAGAAACGGAGGAACCAUUGGAAGGUAUAAUUAUACAAAACUACAGGCAACAGGAUAGCAGUGUCUGGCUGCAGCAGCACCACAGAGGUUAGCUCAGUUCUCGAGUGUUUAAUGGAAGUUAGUGGACAACAGAUAGAAGCAGGAGAAUCACAGUGAACUUCUGACACAGAAGCCAUGGAGGAGUUCAAACGAGGGAGAUCUGAUACCUUGAACAUACAGUCAGAGGGUGAGGAGAUGACCCCGGUUACCCUGGUAGCCACAAUGACCCCUGACCCCGAGGUGAACUCUGAGCCCUCCCAGGCAGAGCUGGCUCAGUGUGAGGCGGAGGUCGGAACUCUACUCAGCAUCAUUGCUGAACUCAACAGGAAAAUGGGCGCAUUACAAGCACCAAGUGAUCCAGAUGACCUUAAACCACAGGAGCCAGUCAUCCUCCCUCCGGCUCCAGCCUCCCUGUCCAGCCCUCCUCCAUCCCUCUGCAACCCAGAGAAACGCACUGGCACCGCAUCUAAAACACCAGUAACCAACAGAGAGGGUAGUGGUGAAGUAUGGUCAGAACUCCAGGGAGUCAUGUCUGUUCUGGAGGGUUCCAUCAACACCAGGAGGGCCUGGGCUGCCUCUCACACUGCCUGUGGGCAGGACAGACAGACGGAACACCUCACAGCCACCAGGGACAGCUGGGUACAAGUCACACAGGUCUUAGAGGAGAUGGAGAGAGAGUUUGGGAUCUCGUACCCGUCUGGUCUGCCCCCUGAGGAGCGUCAGCAAUACCAGAAGGACAUCCUGGCACUUCACCAGCGGAACUGUGACCUGCGCAGCAGCCUGCAAAGCAGACAGGAAGAACUGGAGGGGGCAAAGGUCACGGUGGGAGACAUAGAGGUUGAGAGGAACAGUCUACAUGAGAGGUUACUGGGUCUCCAUAAAGCGUGGCGAACAGGCAGCCUCUCUCCUCCCUACAGCUCCUCAGGGAGCUCCAGUGGUGUGGUUCUGAGUCCUGGCUGGGCCUCCCCUGGUUCCCCUGGUUCCCCUUCAUUCCUUGGCUCUCCUCCCUUCCCCGGGUCACCUCUGUUCCUCAGGAGACCCAUCGCCAUGGGGAUCUUCCCGGCCCUCUCAACUGGGGGGGACAUAUCCUCCUCGGCCUCUCCAUCACCCUCCCCCUGGCCUGGGAGUGUCCCACAAGGCAGCCCCUGUCGUAGCCCUAGCCCCAGCCCCAGCGUCAGCCUGGAGGGUGAGACAGACAGACUACAGAGGUACGUACAACUGAGAGGGUUAAAUUACAACAUGGUGGUGUGGGUCAGUGUUUCCCAACUGGUGUGUUGUGUGGUGUGUGGUGUGUGGUGUGUUGUGUGUGUUGUUGUGUGUUGUGUGGUGUGUGUUGUGUUGUGUUGUGUGGUGUGUGGUGUGGUGUGUGGUGUGUUGUGUGGUGUGUUGUGUGUGUUGUGUGAUGUAUGGUGUGUUGUGUGGUGUGUUGCGUGUGUUGUGUUGUGUGUUGUGUGUUGUGUGUUGUGUGUUGUGUGUUGUGUUGUGUGGUGUGUGUUGUGUUGUUGUGUGUUGUGUUGUGUUGUGUGGUGUGUGUUGUGUGGUGUGGUGUGUGGUGUGUGGUGUGUUGUGUGGUGUGUUGUGUGUGUUGUGUUGUGUGGUGUGUGGUGUGUGGUGUGUUGGGUGUCGUGA
rnacentral:lncRNA from 8 species